UCUGGCGACUAUGGCGGAGGGGCCCCACCCGUUCCCAUCCCGAACACGGAAGUUAAGCCCUCCUGCGCCGAUGGUACUGCUUUAUUGCGGGAGAGUAGGUCGUUGCCAGGC
rnacentral:rRNA from 1 species